UCAGACGUGGUGCACGGUGCGCAUCUGCCCUCAGUUGUAAUUCAAUCCUCUGCUCUUGAAAGCAAAGGAACGGGGUUCGACUCCCCGCGUCUGAA